rnacentral:rRNA from 1 species
UGGCUCAGAACGAACGCUGGCGGCAGGCUUAACACAUGCAAGUCGAGCGCCCCGCAAGGGGAGCGGCAGACGGGUGAGUAACGCGUGGGAAUCUACCCUUGACUACGGAAUAACGCAGGGAAACUUGUGCUAAUACCGUAUGUGUCCUUCGGGAGAAAGAUUUAUCGGUCAAGGAUGAGCCCGCGUUGGAUUAGCUAGUUGGUGGGGUAAAGGCCUACCAAGGCGACGAUCCAUAGCUGGUCUGAGAGGAUGAUCAGCCACAUUGGGACUGAGACACGGCCCAAACUCCUACGGGAGGCAGCAGUGGGGAAUAUUGGACAAUGGGCGCAAGCCUGAUCCAGCCAUGCCGCGUGAGUGAUGAAGGCCCUAGGGUUGUAAAGCUCUUUCACCGGAGAAGAUAA